GAUGAACGCUAGCGGCAGGCUUAACACAUGCAAGUCGAGGGGUAUAGUUCUUCGGAACUAGAGACCGGCGCACGGGUGCGUAACGCGUAUGCAAUCUACCUUUUGCAGAGGGAUAGCCCAGAGAAAUUUGGAUUAAUACCUCAUGGUAUGUGAGAAUGGCAUCAUUUUCACAUUAAAGUCACAACGGCAAAAGAUGAGCAUGCGUCCCAUUAGCUUGUUGGUAAGGUAACGGCUUACCAAGGCAACGAUGGGUAGGGGUCCUGAGAGGGAGAUCCCCCACACUGGUACUGAGACACGGACCAGACUCCUACGGGAGGCAGCAGUGAGGAAUAUUGGACAAUGGGCGCAAGCCUGAUCCAGCCAUGCCGCGUGCAGGAUGACGGUCCUAUGGAUUGUAAACUGCUUUUGUACAGGAAGAAACACUGGUUCGUGAACCAGCUUGACGGUACUGUAAGAAUAAGGAUCGGCUAACUACGUGCCAGCAGCCGCAGUAAUAC
rnacentral:rRNA from 1 species